GAUGAAGAACGCAGCGAAAUGCGAUAAGUAAUGUGAAUUGCAGAAUUCAGUGAAUCAUCGAAUCUUUGAACGCACAUUGCGCCCGCCAGUAUUCUGGCGGGCAUGCCUGUCUGAGCGUCAUUUCAACCCUCAUGCCCCUAGGGCGUGGUGUUGGGGAUCGGCCAAAGCCCGCGAGGGACGGCCGGCCCCUAAAUCUAGUGGCGGACCCGUCGUGGCCUCCUCUGCGAAGUAGUGAUAUUCCGCAUCGGAGAGCGAUGAGCCCCUGCCGUUAAACCCCCAUCUUUCCAAGGUUGACCUCAGAUCAGGUAGGAAUACCCGCUGAACUUAAGCAUAUCAAUAAGCGGAGGA
rnacentral:misc_RNA from 1 species